rnacentral:lncRNA from 1 species
AAAUUCAACUUUAAUAUCCAGUUAGUUAGUUACUUUUAUUAGUAUUUAUUGUCUAAGUAUUCAAACUAACACUGACUUUAGCAUCAUAGUGUAUUUUUGUAAGUUGCACCUAGUUCGACCGAACGACGCAAGGAGAAGAUUAAAGACAAAACCCUAACCUAUGCUUGGAAUUUGGAGAUAAUUUUGGAGGGUGGACCUAACCUUGACCUCAUAAAUUGAAACAUUUUGGUGCCCACCGUGGAGCCCGAGGACAAAAGAAGAAACCAAAUGGUGACCACAAGAAACAUAAGAGACCAACAAGAUCCAAUGGAGCUGAUCACAAAAAUGUAAAGAUAGAUGUAGGAGAUGCAAUGAAUGCAUGAGGCCGAGUGAUGGGUGUCGCGGCCCAUACAAAUUUAAUUGCAUAUUAGAAAUGCAGUAUAGCUAGGAAUGAUUCCUAGGUCGUCUCUCAAGGACCAAACUAUGGUUCGAGUCUCAAGUCAAACACGAAGUGGGGAGGGGGGGGGGUUUGUGAAAAGUUUGUGAAUGCGGACGAAUUAAAUCAAAGGACGGAUGCAAACAGAAAUGUAAAAAUAGAAUUGCAAAACGAAAUCACAUACAGAAUAAAAACGGUUGGUCAUUAACUUAAUUACAAUGUUUCCAAUCACAGAUCAACAAAAUAAAGUUGUGACUCAAACCUCUAAUCCAACAAAGUUAACCAACUAAGUGAAGGUUAACCCCUGUUUUCAUAAAAGCGAACUAAGUGAAUGCAGUGUUAAUAUCAAAUCUAAAUUACACCAUUCAGUUACAUCAACUAAGCGAAGAUAUAACACCAACUGGGCAACUAAGCGUAUACCCAAUUGCAAGUGCAAAAAUAGAAUUCACAUUAACCCAGUCAGAGUGCACAAACAAUCACAAUUCAAGAAUCUCAAGGAAANAGUGCAAUAUCGUCAAUGACCAACCAAACUAAAUUAAGCUACCAUGGAAAUUAAAUUGAGUCGACUAAACAAAUUAGACAACAUCUAAACAUCAAACACUGCUACCAAUUAAUUAGCAAACACAGUUAAAAAUAAUUAAAUGCAAAACUAACUUAAACACAUAAAAACAACUCAACCUACUAAGCAAUUUAAUUGAAAACAAAAGAAACCAACAAGCCUAAUUUAAUCCUAACAAAUCACUUGACACAAUGGCAAUUAACAAAUGAAUUUAAAAGUCCAAUUGGCCAAAUAAAAGCACAUGGCCGUGAGUGAUGUUUCAAAGGUCCAAAUUCAAAAUUCUAUUUUCAUUUAACCACCAAAUGUAUUGUCUUUUGUCCCAUGUGCACCAAUUCUCAAAAGAAAUUAAAAUAUACUUAAACAUCCAAUUGAAAACCAUUCCUUAGUCUUCUCCAUGCAGCAAAAUUCGAAAUCCACACUCCAAGACCACAAAAUGCCGAACCUACCAAGUGAUUCCUACAAAAAAUACUUUAAAAACCCAUGUGCAAAUGGAAGAUACAUUGUGUGCUCCAACCAAAGUGCCAUGUAGGCAAGACCAAAUGAAAUUAAACAACCAAAGACCUCUCAUGCAAAGGCAAUUCAUGGCUCGAAUUCAAACAAAGCCAAAGCUCAAAAUGGAAAUCUUCCUAGAAUGAAAAUGAGCAUCUUUUUUAUUUGCCCAAAAGUGGUAAAAAAUUAAUGCAUCAUUCUCUCUCCUUUCUACACACCAUUUUCGUUUCCUUCACUAAUACACACCUUCAUAAUCUUUCUUCCUCUCCUCAAUACCAAGAAUGAGCACCCAAGAGACCCCAUUUGAAGUUGCAACUCCAUUCAAGACAAUAAACCCACACUACUACUACUUCAACUCAACCCAAUCUUCCAUUUUUUCAAGCUCUUGUGCAAAAAACGAAAAUAAUAUUAUACCAUUCAACUCAACCACUGUCCAGCCCCAAUAACAUUAUCAAAGUCUGGUUCCAAACUAGUUUCAAACAUCAAAAUCGAAAUAUGAAUGGAUUUUCACCACCAAUGAGUUAAGACAACCAAGAGUGAGUCAAGGAAAGAAGAAAAUCUUCAUAAUAU